GACGAACGCUGGCGGCGUGCCUAAUACAUGCAAGUAGAACGCUGAAGGAGGAGCUUGCUCUUCUGGAUGAGUUGCGAACGGGUGAGUAACGCGUAGGUAACCUGCCUGGUAGCGGGGGAUAACUAUUGGAAACGAUAGCUAAUACCGCAUAACAGUAGAUGUUGCAUGACAUUUGCUUAAAAGGUGCAAUUGCACCACUACCAGAUGGACCUGCGUUGUAUUAGCUAGUUGGUGGGGUAACGGCUCACCAAGGCGACGAUACAUAGCCGACCUGAGAGGGUGAUCGGCCGCCCUGGGACUGAGACACGGCCCAGACUCCUACGGGAGGCAGCCGUAGGGCAUCUUCGGCAAUGGACGGAAGUCUGACCGAGCCACGCCGCGUGAGUGCAGAAGGUUUUCGGAUCGUGAAGCUCUGUUGUAAGGGAAGAACGAGUGUGGGAGUGGAAAGUUCACACUGUGACGGUAUCUUACCAGAAAGGGACGGCUAACUACGUG
rnacentral:rRNA from 1 species